ACAGAGGUGGGAGGCAACGACCUUUAGCGAGGAAAAGGUCAGGGGAGGAAACGGUAAAAAAAAAAAAAAAAGAAGAAGAUAGUCGAGGAAUUGCUGGAGGAAUGUCAGCCUAUGAGUUCACAGCCCAGGGAGUGGAAGACAACAACAACGAGCUCGGGCGUUUUGAUGGCCCAGCAGGCGGCUGCAUUCAAUCGCCAAUCAGUCAGCACUCAACACACCUGCCGCUGAUGAGCUCCCUGGGCUUCUUAAGCCAGUUCAAACCUGCGUUCCGGGCCAGAACGUAGCGACCUGUUCCAGUACACAGCAUUCCUCCGUUCCCGCGUCACAAGCUGUGUGUCUCGUCUCCCUCUAUUCCCUCUGGUUCCCUGGCUGCCUCUUGGAUCUCAAUCUCCCGCCUGGACACGGACUGUUGACGCCUCGCCCCUGCCCUUGACCUCACGCCUGCCCACGGACCUCCGAGCUUGCCUUUCCCCCUUGGACUUCCGGUAACACUCAUCAGAUAAUCGCUACACGAAGUCGCACACCAUACACAUUUUGGAUUAGUUUCACACU